UCAUGAGAACCGAUUGCUAGAAAUAGAGGAAAGUCCGGGCAUCCACAAUCUGUGAUGAUUGUAGUGUUUGUACUGCAUCUAAUAAAUGCAGGUAGCUUAGCUAACGACAGACCUAAGACCUAAGCCAUUCAGGUAUGGUUGAUAAGUCAUAAAGUGCCACAGAAACUAUGUCUUUUGAAAAAAGAGUGAAAAGAGGUAAACUCUGCAAGGAUGAAACCCAAAUUAUGGUAGGGGAGUUUCAUGUAAGGAAACGAACGAACAUGAAGAUGCAAUGCAUAGAUAAAUAAUCGGUUGAAAAACAGAACUCGGCUUAUCA
rnacentral:RNase_P_RNA from 1 species